rnacentral:rRNA from 1 species
ACGAGGCGAACCGGGGGAACUGAAACAUCUAAGUACCCCGAGGAAAAGAAAUCAACCGAGAUUCCCCCAGUAGCGGCGAGCGAACGGGGAGCAGCCCAGAGUCUGAAUCAGCUUGUGUGUUAGUGGAACGGUCUGGAAAGUCCGACGGUACAGGGUGAUAGUCCCGUACACCAAAAUGCACAGGCUGUGAACUCGAAGAGUAGGGCGGGACACGUGGUAUCCUGUCUGAAUAUGGGGGGACCAUCCUCCAAGGCUAAAUACUCCUGACUGACCGAUAGUGAACCAGUACCGUGAGGGAAAGGCGAAAAGAACCCCGGCGAGGGGAGUGAAAAAGAACCUGAAACCGUGUACGUACAAGCAGUGGGAGCACCUUCGGGUGUGACUGCGUACCUUUUGUAUAAUGGGUCAGCGACUUAUAUUCUGUAGCAAGGUUAACCGUAUAGGGGAGCCGCAGGGAAACCGAGUCUUAACUGGGCGUUAAGUUGCAGGGUAUAGACCCGAAACCCGGUGAUCUAGCCAUGGGCAGGUUGAAGGUUGGGUAACACUAACUGGAGGACCGAACCGACUAAUGUUGAAAAAUUAGCGGAUGACUUGUGGCUGGGGGUGAAAGGCCAAUCAAACCGGGAGAUAGCUGGUUCUCCCCGAAAGCUAUUUAGGUAGCGCCUCGUGAACUCAUCUUCGGGGGUAGAGCACUGUUUCGGCUAGGGGGUCAUCCCGACUUACCAACCCGAUGCAAACUACGAAUACCGAAGAAUGUUAUCACGGGAGACACACGGCGGGUGCUAACGUCCGUCGUGAAGAGGGAAACAACCCAGACCGCCAGCUAAGGUCCCAAAGUCAUGGUUAAGUGGGAAACGAUGUGGGAAGGCACAGACAGCCAGGAUGUUGGCUUAGAAGCAGCCAUCAUUUAAAGAAAGCGUAAUAGCUCACUGGUCGAGUCGGCCUGCGCGGAAGAUGUAACGGGGCUAAACCAUGCACCGAAGCUGCGGCAGCGACACUAUGUGUUGUUGGGUAGGGGAGCGUUCUGUAAGCCUGCGAAGGUGACCUGUGAGGGUUGCUGGAGGUAUCAGAAGUGCGAAUGCUGACAUAAGUAACGAUAAAGCGGGUGAAAAGCCCGCUCGCCGGAAGACCAAGGGUUCCUGUCCAACGUUAAUCGGGGCAGGGUGAGUCGACCCCUAAGGCGAGGCCGAAAGGCGUAGUCGAUGGGAAACAGGUUAAUAUUCCUGUACUUGGUGUUACUGCGAAGGGGGGACGGAGAAGGCUAUGUUAGCCGGGCGACGGUUGUCCCGGUUUAAGCAUGUAGGCUGGUUAUCCAGGCAAAUCCGGAUAAUCAAGGCUGAGGUGUGAUGACGAGGCACUACGGUGCUGAAGUAACAAAUGCCCUGCUUCCAGGAAAAGCCUCUAAGCAUCAGGUAACAUCAAAUCGUACCCCAAACCGACACAGGUGGUCAGGUAGAGAAUACCAAGGCGCUUGAGAGAACUCGGGUGAAGGAACUAGGCAAAAUGGUGCCGUAACUUCGGGAGAAGGCACGCUGGUGUGUAGGUGAAGCCCCUGCGGGUGGAGCUGAGACCAGUCGAAGAUACCAGCUGGCUGCAACUGUUUAUUAAAAACACAGCACUGUGCAAACACGAAAGUGGACGUAUACGGUGUGACGCCUGCCCGGUGCCGGAAGGUUAAUUGAUGGGGUUAUCCGUAAGGAGAAGCUCUUGAUCGAAGCCCCGGUAAACGGCGGCCGUAACUAUAACGGUCCUAAGGUAGCGAAAUUCCUUGUCGGGUAAGUUCCGACCUGCACGAAUGGCGUAAUGAUGGCCAGGCUGUCUCCACCCGAGACUCAGUGAAAUUGAACUCGCUGUGAAGAUGCAGUGUACCCGCGGCAAGACGGAAAGACCCCGUGAACCUUUACUAUAGCUUGACACUGAACAUUGAGCCUUGAUGUGUAGGAUAGGUGGGAGGCUUUGAAGCGUGGACGCCAGUCUGCGUGGAGCCAACCUUGAAAUACCACCCUUUAAUGUUUGAUGUUCUAACGUUGGCCCCUUACCGGGGUUGCGGACAGUGUCUGGUGGGUAGUUUGACUGGGGCGGUCUCCUCCCAAAGCGUAACGGAGGAGCACGAAGGUUAGCUAAUCCUGGUCGGACAUCAGGAGGUUAGUGCAAUGGCAUAAGCUAGCUUGACUGCGAGCGUGACGGCGCGAGCAGGUGCGAAAGCAGGUCAUAGUGAUCCGGUGGUUCUGAAUGGAAGGGCCAUCGCUCAACGGAUAAAAGGUACUCCGGGGAUAACAGGCUGAUACCGCCCAAGAGUUCAUAUCGACGGCGGUGUUUGGCACCUCGAUGUCGGCUCAUCACAUCCUGGGGCUGAAGUAGGUCCCAAGGGUAUGGCUGUUCGCCAUUUAAAGUGGUACGCGAGCUGGGUUUAGAACGUCGUGAGACAGUUCGGUCCCUAUCUGCCGUGGGCGCUGGAGAAUUGAGGGGGGCUGCUCCUAGUACGAGAGGACCGGAGUGGACGCAUCACUGGUGUUCGGGUUGUCAUGCCAAUGGCACUGCCCGGUAGCUAAAUGCGGAAGAGAUAAGUGCUGAAAGCAUCUAAGCACGAAACUUGCCCCGAGAUGAGUUCUCCCUGAGACUUUAAGUCUCCUGAAGGAACGUUGAAGACGACGACGUUGAUAGGCCGGGUGUGUAAGCGCAGCGAUGCGUUGAGCUAACCGGUACUAAUGAACCGUGAGGCUUAACC